AGCAUUUUAUUCUUUUUCUUAUUUCAUAGAAUAGUCGUUGAGCAUUAAUUAAAUUGAGAUAUUGUGGAGGCUUACAAAAUUAUUUGUGUAAUCAAGAGAGAGAAUUACCUCCUAUGUGAAAAUAUUCAAGCACUAAUCUAAGUCUGAGGCUUAUAUUCAUUAUCGCGGAGUUCAUUAGCGGUCCAUCACUUAGCAUCAACAUUUCAAUCGGCAACUUAAGAGAGCCCAUGAUUUAAUUAAAUUCUUAGUCCUUACUUGUAUUUUAGUUGGCGGCCCAAUUCCAUAAUUUUUUUUAAAAAAAAGGCUGCCAAUUUCUCUAAUUGAUUCGUAGCCCAUAUUGUCAAAUAAAGAGCAGGCCCCAAACCUCAUACUUUAUUUUAAUUAUUACUCCCCUAAAUUAAUUAAAUCCAUGGCCCCAAUUAUAAUAUGAGAGUGACCCAAAAAGAAUGCAAUAACAACAUAUACUCCGAACACUAUCGGUUACUCCCUUAAAUUAAUCUCACAAAAAUCCCAAAUCAAAAACCCUAAUUGAAAGGGGAUUUCGAUCGGAAGAAGAAGGAGCUUCCUUCAGCAGCGCCUCCUCCUCACGCCGCCGGAUACUCGUUUCUCCUGCCCCAUCCUCCCUCUCUUUCCAUCGACACUUCCUCGAAUUUUUCCCUCAAGUCCUCAAAUCCCUAGUUGAAACAAAAACAGCGCCUCCUCCUUUCCUCUCUCGAUUCGCCGCCGUCAUCUAUUCUCGGCGCUCGCAACACCGCUGCCUUAGCCCAGCAGGGCUCCUCGUCGCUUCGCGAGGCUUCUGCCGUCGCUGCUGUUCGGCGAGGCUCAAGGCGUCGCCACCGCUGUUCUUUAUAUCCAUUUUCUCGGCGUUUCUCCAACAUGAAGCUAAGUUCUUUAUAUUGUUCCUCAGUAGCUACGGUUGGUUGUUAUCUGGUGAACUGAGUUCGAUUUGGAGGGAUUCUGCUCUAUGUCCUAGCUCCAUUUAUCAUGUAGCAUGCUAUAAACAAAGCUUAGGCAGUAGCUUUGUGAAAUUAUAAUUCUUGGAUUUGUUCACAGUGGUGGAGUUCCACAUGGUUGCUACUGAUUUUGGCCUAUGAGGUAGACUAUGAUUUUUCUUGCACUAACUUGUUAUGAUGUGAUUUACUGAUCUUAUUUGGGGUUUAGCAUGCUAUUUGAGAAUUCUAAGUUGUUGCGCUUCUACAUGAUGAUAUGAAGGAUUGUUUGGAAGAAGGAAAAGAAGUGUAUUACCUCUUGAAAACGGCUUCUGAUCCUUGAGUUUUCUGCUCCUAGACUCCAGGUUCACCCACCUACCUUGGAGUUCCUAGUUGCAGUGAAAGGGAGUGAAAGGGAAAGGGGUGAGCUUGAGUUUUUUGCAAGAAGAGAAAUUGUAGGAAGGGAGGAUUUGAUUACCUAUGGAGGGUAGGAGUUGCCUACAAGAACUCUGCAGAAACUCUACUCCAAGCUUUCUCACUCUCAACUUGCUAUUGUGGCUGUAAAAGAUUCAUUUGGAGGGGAGUUUUUGGAGGUGGUGUGGGGGUUCUUAUAGGUAGAGUGUAUUGUCCUUAGGAGGAAUAAAUGGUUACCACUGCACUUUGUCUUUACUUUGCAGCAUAUCUCUUAUUUGAUCCACUUUGCAACACUUUAACUUAAGGAAUUUUGGUGUUUUGCUUGAGCCUAAGUACUCUUAUAUUUAUGAUCUUUGUUUGAUUUUGUAGAUGUACAAGGUGUAGAGGGAAAAGGUGCAGGUGUUGAUAAGAGGAGGAUGUUGCAGGCAUUGACUUGCCCCUUUUGGGUAAGUCCUUGGUCUACUUAAGCAAAGGUAUCAGGGCAUCCACAAUAGGGUGCCCUGUAGUCCGCCCUAUAGGGUGCCCUAUGCCCCGCCACAUCAACAUUUUAUCCUCCUACCCAUCCACCUGCAGCGGGAUGUCCUAUAGGUCGCUCUAUAGUCUGCCCUAAGCAUUUUAUUUAUUUGAAUAUUUAAAGCACUACAAAAUUUGGAAAAAAAAAACUUCAUUUCAUUGAAAAUUCAUACAUUACAAUACGAAAUAAAAAAAAAACUAUAAAUUCUCAAUGGCGGUUACGGUCCCAAACUUCUUCAAUCAUGUCGUUCAUAAGUUGAGCAUGGUCUUGUUGGUUGCGCAUUGAGGCAUGUCUUGGUAGAACCUCAUUGAAGCCAAUCCGUAAUCCUCGAACGUGGGGCGGGGUCGUCGUGCUGGAGCUAGAUCCACCUUCAUCAUCGCCCCAAUCAGCGACUCUUCCACCUUAGUGUUCGACUAACAUGUUAUGCAAGAUGAUGCACGCAUGCAUGACAUCGGCGAUGACGUCCUUGUACCAGAACCGCGCAGGACCCUUCACUAUUGCACAUCGCGCUUGGAGCACACCAAAUGCCCGCUCCACAUCCUUCCGCGCAGCCUCCUGCUUUUGCGCGAAUAAAACUCUCUUAUCACCCAUUGGGUAGCUGAUCGUCUUCAAAAAAACAGGCUACCUCGGGUAUAUUUCAUCGGCCAAGUAGUACCCCAUAUGAUAUUGGCGUUCGUUGGCAGUGAAGUCGAUGGUCGGGCCGUUGUCAUUGCAUUGCUCGGUGAAGAGGUUGGAUGAGUUGAGGACGUUGAUGUCAUUGUUCGACCCCGCUACACCGUAGUAAGCAUGCCAGAUCUAGAGCCGAUGGUCAGCGACGGCUUUGAGGAUCAUCGCCGGGUGGCUGCCCUUGUAUCCACUAGUAAAUUUGCCUCUCCACGUCGUCGGGUAAUUCUUCCACUCCCAGUGCAUACAAUCGAUGUUCCCUAGCAUUGUAGGAAAGUCGUGCGUCGUCUUGUGCAACUUCAUCAGGGCCUGUCAAUCCUCAGCAGUCGGCUUUCGCAAAUAUGUGUUGUUAUAAGCCUCCACAACUCCCCUACAAAAAUUCUUCAGGCACUCGCGGCUAGUUGUCUCCCCGACGUGAAGGUACUCGUCGAACAUGCUCGCCGUGGUGCCGUAGACCAACUGCCGGAGCGCAACCGUGUACUUCUGCAACGGCGUAAGUCCGGGUCUACCGAUGCCAUCUUCCCGAUACUGGAAGUAUUCAUCACGUGCCUCCAACGUUUGGACAAUGCUGAGAAAAAGAUCUCGCCGCAUUCUGAAACGGCGGUGAAAAAACGAUGGGCCCCACCGUGGUUGCUCGUCAAAAUAGUCUUCGAACAGACGUUGGAGAGCUACGUCGUGCUCGUUGCGAACAAACGUCCGAAGCCGAAUCGGUUUCGGGAUCUGCACCGCCUGGGCUUCGCCGCUUCGCGCUCCAUGUCAGCCAAGCAUUCCGCCGCAGCCUCAUGAACGCAAUCGAAUAAGGUCCGAGUCAAGGCCCGAGUAAUGCCCUCAGAGGGAUGGGAAAACUGGGCCUUCCAAGACAUGGGCCUGUUGCCUUGGGCCCGACAGGUUGAUCGGAUAGGGCCGCGGUGGGGAUUUGGUUUGGGCUCGGGAGAAAGAGGCCCAAAGUAUAGCUAAAAGAAGCCUUUAGUUUCUUAGCCUUAUUGGCUUAUUCUUGAACAUUUUUUUUGUAAUAGUAUAGUAUUCCUUUUAGAUUAAUUGUAUUAUUCGAGAUGUAUACGAACAUUUUAGUUCGGGAGAACUACUUUAUUUCCUUGUACAAUGUUCACAUAUUUCAUAACAUACAUUAGUUUGUUCGAUUAGCACUUUAA